CCAGACUCCUACGGGAGGCAGCAGUGGGGAAUAUUGCACAAUGGGGGAAACCCUGAUGCAGCAACGCCGCGUGAGUGAAGAAGUAUUUCGGUAUGUAAAGCUCUAUCAGCAGGGAAGAAGAUGACGGUACCUGAGUAAGAAGCCCCGGCUAACUACGUGCCAGCAGCCGCGGUAAUACGUAGGGGGCAAGCGUUAUCCGGAUUUACUGGGUGUAAAGGGAGCGUAGACGGUGAGACAAGUCUGAAGUGAAAGCCCGGGGCUCAACCCCGGGACUGCUUUGGAAACUGCCUGACUGGAGUGCUGGAGAGGCAAGCGGAAUUCCUAGUGUAGCGGUGAAAUGCGUAGAUAUUAGGAGGAACACCAGUGGCGAAGGCGGUCUGCUGGACAGCAACUGACAGUGAGGCGCGAAAGCGUGGGGAGCAAACAGGAUUAGAUACCCCUGUA
rnacentral:rRNA from 1 species